rnacentral:rRNA from 1 species
AUGCAGGAUCAUCUUCGAUAUGGAAAUGACGAGAUGUUGGAGAUCUUGAAGUAUGGUUAUCAAGUUGUAGACCCGAAGAAUCUUACACCAAGAGAAGUAUAUGAAAAGAAUCUCAAUGAGACCGCAAUCAUGUGCACAAGGAGAGGUAUGACUGACAAGCAAAGGAGAGCAUACAUACACAUCACAAGUGCCAAGGAAUUAUGGGAUAGCAUUGUGAGUACCAAGACCGGCACCUCCACACUCCGGCUUGCUCAAUAUGAAAUUGCCAAGGGUAAAUUGCAAAAAAAAAUUAUGGAUAAUGGUGAAUCCCCCAUGCAGCUCCUUGAACAUCUCAUGACUCUCACCGCCGACAUCGAGUCUUGUGAUUGUGACAAGACACAAGAUGGAUUCAACUUGACUAAGGGAUUUCUCGUGGACAAGUUGCUUCAUGCUCUUGCUCCAUAUCAUCACCAAAUGGUAUGGUACAUAAGACAACACCAUGGAUUCAAGGAAAUGACCCUGGAUGACAUCAUAUCCAUGUUCAAACUAUUUGAAGAAUCAAUGGCAAAUGCCACAAAACAUCUUGUCAUGCACGGUACCCCAACAUCAAAGAUCAAUCUUGCAUUGAAGGCCAAGUAUGUAUGUGAAGAAGAGCAAAGUGAAGAAGAAGAUGGUGAUGAGAUUGACUCCGACAAGAGCCCUUCAUAUGAAGACAUUGCUCUCUUUGUCAAGAAGUUUAGCGCGGGAAAAUUUAAGGGAAGAUUCCAGAAGAAGAAAGUGAGAAAAUGCUACAACUGUGAAGAAACCAAUCACUUCUCAAACGAUUGCCCUUAUGAGAAGAGAGAAGAUAAACCAAGGUCUCCUAAGACCUUUCCCAAGAAAAAGUUUCCAAAUCCUUUGAACUCCAAGCUCAAGAAGAGAGAUGGGAAAGUAAUGGUUGCUCAUGAAGAAUCCGAUACAGAUGAUGUUAGUGGUGUUGCCGGAGUUGCUCAAGAUUCUCAAAACACUUUGAGGCUAGUCAACAAGAGUAGUGAUGUUGUCACCUACGACUAUAUGAAAGACUACAAGGUCAACGCUCACAAGUGUCUAAUGGCAAAGGCCGUGGUAGAAGAUGGAGAGGACCAAAACUCUCCUGACAAGGUCAAGGUAACCCCACGAUCAAACCCUCAUCUCUUCACUCCUUCUACUCCUAGUGAUGAGUAUCUUGAUGCGGAGGAUAGUUAUGAUGAUGACGAUAUAGAUGAUCCUAUGCUUGCUAAACUAAAUAACUUCAUGUGCUCCCUCAAAGGAAAGAAGCUCACUAUGUUUCGUAUGCUUAUGGAAAUGGAGAGUAAGCACACUAUCACCAUUAAGGAACUCAAAACCAUCGUCACCGAGGAAAGGAAAAAUAUGAAAUCCUUGAGUGGAAAGUCCAAUAUGAGGAAGCCCGAAAUGAUGAACUAUGCAUGA